CUCAAAGGAAUUGACGGGGACCCGCACAAGCGGUGGAUGAUGUGGAUUAAUUCGAUGCAACGCGAAAAACCUUACCUACCCUUGACAUGUCUGGAAUCCUUGAGAGAUCAGGGAGUGCCUUCGGGAGCCAGAACACAGGUGCUGCAUGGCUGUCGUCAGCUCGUGUCGUGAGAUGUUGGGUUAAGUCCCGCAACGAGCGCAACCCUUGUCGCUAAUUGCCACCAUUUAGUUGGGCACUUUAGCGAGACUGCCGGUGACAAACCGGAGGAAGGUGGGGAUGACGUCAAGUCCUCAUGGCCCUUAUGGGUAGGGCUUCACACGUCAUACAAUGGUCGGUACAGAGGGUUGCCAAGCCGCGAGGUGGAGCUAAUCUCAAAAAGCCGAUCGUAGUCCGGAUCGUAGUCUGCAACUCGACUACGUGAAGUCGGAAUCGCUAGUAAUCGUGGAUCAGCAUGCCACGGUGAAUACGUUCCCGGGUCUUGUACACACCGCCCGUCACA
rnacentral:rRNA from 1 species